UACAGAGGUCCCAAGCGUUUUUCGGAUUUACUGGGCGUAAAGGGUGCGUAGGUGAUCAGGUAAGUCUGAUGUGAAAUCUUCGAGCUCAACUCGAAAACUGCAUCGGAUACUAUCUGGCUAGAGGAAUGGAGGGGAGACUGGAAUACUUGGUGUAGCAGUGAAGUGCGUAGAUAUCAAGUGGAACACCAGUGGCGAAGGCGAGUCUCUGGACAUUUCCUGACGCUGAGGCACGAAAGCCAGGGGAGCAAACGGG
rnacentral:rRNA from 1 species